rnacentral:pre_miRNA from 1 species
UGGACAUAUUAUUGUAUUCGACUGUAUUCAUGGUGUGAAACAGGGGAUUACACUAUUUUUAAACGGAAAGUGAAUCAAUUAACACAAUAGACUCCA